rnacentral:rRNA from 1 species
GACGAACGCUGGCGGCGUGCUUAACACAUGCAAGUCGAACGGAAAGGCCCUGCUUUGGUGGGGUGCUCGAGUGGCGAACGGGUGAGUAACACGGGAGUAACCUGCCCUUGACUUUGGGAUAACUUCAGGAAACUGGGGCUAAUACCGGAUAGGAGCUCCUGCUGCAUGGUGGGGGCUGGAAAGUUUCGGCGGUUGGGGAUGGACUCGCGGCUUAUCAGCUUGUUGGUGGGGUAGUGGCUUACCAAGGCUUUGACGGGUAGCCGGCCUGAGAGGGUGACCGGCCACAUUGGGACUGAGAUACGGCCCAGACUCCUACGGGAGGCAGCAGUGGGGAAUAUUGCACAAUGGGCGGAAGCCUGAUGAAGCAGCGCCGCGUGCGGGAUGACGGCCUUCGGGUUGUAAACCGCUUUCGCCUGUGACGAAGCGUGAGUGACGGUAAUGGGUAAAGAAGCACGGGCUAACUACGUG